AUUGAUUUCAAUAAUCUUUUUUAAUUAUUAUUUUUAAAACAACUUUAUGUUGUUGUGUUUCACGCCAUAUUAUCAGACCACCUUAAGUGGGUCCGCCUUAAAUUUUGAGUUUGUGUGAUCGCUGUUGAUUGGUAGCUAAACUGCUGGUAAACUGUGUACAGACGUUUUACGUUCGAAUUGCAGAGAAAAAAAAAUUCUGGUUGCAACAUUGUGCAGUAUGAGCGAACCAUUUCACCAAAAAGAGGGGAAGCAAGGCAAGACGUGGCUGCAGCGGUCUGCAGACGUGACUUCUGAUCAAAUUCGAACCUCCUCCUAAAGAAACAAAGAGCGACAUUAUAUUGCGGGAUGACGUCACCUGAAAAUGACCAAUAGCGCGGCGCGCUGCUGAGCUGUGUGCCAACCGCUCUUUUUUUCAUGCAGGAGACUCAAGUUGGCUUCGCUAACGGACACAGUUUUGAACUCGUAUAUUAGCGCCAUUUAUUGCUGCUUGGACCACAGCAUCUUCGGAAUUUGUAGACAUCCUGGCAGCAUACAAUUAGUUCGAGGUGAGACACUGAAUUUGAGCAGAAACCAUAAGGAUACUCAAAGGACCUGUGACUCUCAGGAAAUGCAUCAAAUGAGAGGGACAGAUGAAACAGUUUCAAGACAAUGGCAGGAAAAACAUGCUGAAGAUUGAAACAAACCUUGGCUGGAAAUAUUUGAAAGUAUCUAGCCAGUCCACAAUGAAAAGCUUCGUUGCACCCCAUGAGUCUUCUGGCAGAAAUGAUGGCGCCUGUAUUCUUUGGUUUCCCUAAACAUCACACCCUGCCUGUUUAUACGAGGCUCUUCAAUUAAGUCUGCACCCAAAGAUUCAAUAAGAGAGGGGAUCCUGCCAGUCCAAAGUGAACUCCUGAUGGACA